rnacentral:rRNA from 1 species
UACGUAGGGUGCAGGCGUUAAUCGGAAUUACUGGGCGUAAAGCGUGCGCAGGCGGUUUGCUAAGACAGGUGUGAAAUCCCCGGGCUUAACCUGGGAACUGCGCUUGUUACUGGCAAGCUAGAGUGUGGCAGAGGGGGGUGGAAUUCCAGGUGUAGCAGUGAAAUGCGUAGAGAUCUGGAGGAACACCGGUGGCGAAGGCAGCCCCCUGGGCUAACACUGACGCUCAUGCACGAAAGCGUGGGGAGCAAACAGG